UCCCUAUCCAGUGCCCGUAUUCUUGAAUUUCAGGGAGUAGAAAUGGAGUUCUAAAGUACAAAUGUUAACCGGAGAACAAGAGGAUAGCGAGCAAAUAUUGAUAUCAGACUUCUCAUACAUGCUAAUCAGUUAUAACAGAGAAUAUAUACUCUCCAUUUAUAUUCGUUUAACGUUUGUAUUCUUUGGUUUAAUCAAUGUAUAAUUUUAUUAUCAAUAAAUAAUUAUGUAAGUGGGUGUACACAUAUUCCUGCCCUCACAAUAUUCUUUUUUAAACAUACAAAAGUGUAUAAUCUCUCAUUUUUUUGUUUUAGCAUAGUGUAUAGUAUAUCAUGUGGCCAAGUUAUAAUCAUAUUUUUUGUGCUACUAAAAUCAUUUGUAUUAUUUUAUCCUGCUGUAUAACAUAAUGAUUUUAAACUAAAUAUGAAUUUAAUUUGUUGGUUACUUAUUUAUUCUACAAAGUUAAGUAGGUUAUAGUUUUUGUAUAUCUAAAAAAA
rnacentral:lncRNA from 1 species